GGGCACGUGGUGUAGUUGGUUAUCACGCUCGCUUAGCACUUGUGAAGAGCUUGCGAGAGGGGUCCGGUUCAAUCCCGGACGUGUCCA
rnacentral:tRNA from 1 species